AUGAACGCUGGCGGCGUGCCUAAUACCUGCAAGUCGAGCGAACGGACGAGAAGCUUGCUUCUCUGAUGUUAGCGGCGGACGGGUGAGUAACACGUGGAUAACCUACCUAUAAGACUGGGAUAACUUCGGGAAACCGUAGCUAAUACCGGAUAAUAUUUUGAACCGCAUGGUUCAAAAGUGAAAGACGGUCUUGCUGUCACUUAUAGAUGGAUCCGCGCUGCAUUAGCUAGUUGGUAAGGUAACGGCUUACCAAGGCAACGAUGCAUAGCCGACCUGAGAGGGUGAUCGGCCACACUGGAACUGAGACACGGUCCAGACUCCUACGGGAGGCAGCAGUAGGGAAUCUUCCGCAAUGGGCGAAAGCCUGACGGAGCAACGCCGCGUGAGUGAUGAAGGUCUUCGGAUCGUAAAACUCUGUUAUUAGGGAAGUACAUAUGUGUAAGUAACUGUGCACAUCUUGACGGUACCUAAUCAGAAAGCCACGGCUAACUACGUG
rnacentral:rRNA from 1 species